UGGGAUAGGCGGGCGGGGCGGGUGCCAUAUCAAUAAGCGGAGGAAAAGGGCGGGGGA
rnacentral:rRNA from 1 species